GCGCCGAUAGUCUAGUUUGGCAGGACUCCAGCCUCCCAAGCUGGUGACCCGGGUUCAAAUCCCGGUCGGCGCA
rnacentral:tRNA from 1 species